CUCGUUGAUGAGACCCAACCAGGUCGAAACAACUGUCCAGUAG
rnacentral:hammerhead_ribozyme from 1 species